rnacentral:rRNA from 1 species
UUACCAUGCAGUCGAACGAUGAAGCCCAGCUUGCUGGGUGGAUUAGUGGCGAACGGGUGAGUAACACGUGAGCAACCUGCCCCUGACUCUGGGAUAAGCGCUGGAAACGGCGUCUAAUACUGGAUAUGUCCCGUCACCGCAUGGUGUGCGGGUGGAAAGAUUUUUCGGUUGGGGAUGGGCUCGCGGCCUAUCAGCUUGUUGGUGAGGUAAUGGCUCACCAAGGCGUCGACGGGUAGCCGGCCUGAGAGGGUGACCGGCCACACUGGGACUGAGACACGGCCCAGACUCCUACGGGAGGCAGCAGUGGGGAAUAUUGCACAAUGGGCGCAAGCCUGAUGCAGCAACGCCGCGUGAGGGAUGACGGCCUUCGGGUUGUAAACCUCUUUUAGCAGGGAAGAAGCGAGAGUGACGGUACCUGCAGAAAAAGCACCGGCUAACUACGUGCCAGCAGCCGCGGUAAUACGUAGGGUGCAAGCGUUAUCCGGAAUUAUUGGGCGUAAAGAGCUCGUAGGCGGUCUGUCGCGUCUGCUGUGAAAUCCCGAGGCUCAACCUCGGGCUUGCAGUGGGUACGGGCAGACUAGAGUGCGGUAGGGGAGAUUGGAAUUCCUGGUGUAGCGGUGGAAUGCGCAGAUAUCAGGAGGAACACCGAUGGCGAAGGCAGAUCUCUGGGCCGUAACUGACGCUGAGGAGCGAAAGGGUGGGGAGCAAACAGGCUUAGAUACCCUGGUAGUCCACCCCGUAAACGUUGGGAACUAGUUGUGGGGUCCUUUCCACGGAUUCCGUGACGCAGCUAACGCAUUAAGUUCCCCGCCUGGGGAGUACGGCCGCAAGGCUAAAACUCAAAGGAAUUGACGGGGACCCGCACAAGCGGCGGAGCAUGCGGAUUAAUUCGAUGCAACGCGAAGAACCUUACCAAGGCUUGACAUACACGAGAACGGGCCAGAAAUGGUCAACUCUUUGGACACUCGUGAACAGGUGGUGCAUGGUUGUCGUCAGCUCGUGUCGUGAGAUGUUGGGUUAAGUCCCGCAACGAGCGCAACCCUCGUUCUAUGUUGCCAGCACGUAAUGGUGGGAACUCAUGGGAUACUGCCGGGGUCAACUCGGAGGAAAGGGGGGGAUGACGUCAAAUCAUCAUGCCCCCUUAUGUCUUGGGGCUUCACGGCAGGCUACAAUGGCCCGGUACAAUGGGGCUGCGAAUACCGUAAGGGUGGAACCGAAUCCCCAAAAAGCCCGGUCCCAAUUUCGGAAUUGGAGGUCUGCCAACUCCGACCUCAUGGAAGUCCGGAGUCCCCUAGUAAUCCGAAAUAACCCACACCCUUCCGGGGAAAACAUUUCCCGGGUU